rnacentral:rRNA from 1 species
CCAAUAGCGUAUAUUAAAGUUGUUGCAGUUAAAAAGCUCGUAGUUGAAUUUCGAGAUCAAUUUGUCGGUCGUGCCUCGGUACGUACUGGCAUUAUUGAUUUCUCCCUUCUGAUGAACCGCGAUGUCAUUAAUUUGGUGUCGUGGUGAAUAAGGACUGUUACUUUGAAAAAAUUAGAGUGUUUAAAGCAGGCGCACGCUUGAAUACAUUCGCAUGGAAUAAUGGAAUAGGACGUUUGAUUCUAUUUUGUUGGUUUCUAGGAUCGACGUAAUGAUUAAUAGGGAUAGUUGGGGGCAUUAGUAUUCAAUUGUCAGAGGUGAAAUUCUUGGAUUUAUUGAAGACUAACUACUGCGAAAGCAUUUGCCAAGGAUGUUUUCAUUAAUCAAGAACGAAAGUUAGGGGAUCGAAGACGAUCAGAUACCGUCGUAGUCUUAACCAUAAACUAUGCCGACUAGGGAUCGGAUGAUGUUAAUUUUUUAAUGACUCAUUCGGCGCCUUACG